rnacentral:lncRNA from 1 species
GGAGGGGAGAGGAGGCUGUGUGGAUAAGCUGCCUUGGUCUGAAGGUACCUGGCUGGGGGUCUUGAUCCUGGGUAGUAAAAGAUGCUGCCCAAGGGUGGGGUGGCUCCAGAGAGCAGCUGGGAGCAGAGUGGCUACUGGUGGGUGGUUAGCUAUCUCUCACUCUCUGUCUUUUUCUCCCUCUCACUCACUCUGCCUCUCCCUCUGGAAUUGUCUAGGUCCUCCUCCCCUCUCUGAAUCACCAUUUGCCCAGUGCUGAGCACUCACCAUGCCUACCCCUCUCUGUCCCUGCCCCUCCCAUCCCGGUGUGGGGGAGGGGCUCUCCCACUGUUCCUGAAGAGCCCAGAGAGCUCACCCUUGGGCCCAUUUCCUCGGCCUCAGGAAAAUCUGUCCCCUCUGCUUCCAGGAUGCUGAGCCUGUCCUGGCUGGGACUCGGGCAGGUGGCAGCCUCCCCAUGGCUGCUCCUGCUGCUGGCGGGGGUCUCCUGGCUCUUGGCCCGCGUCCUGGCCUGGAGCUACAGCUUCUAUGACACCUGCUGCCGCCUCCGGUGUUUUCCACAGCCCCCGAAGCAGAGCUGGUUUUGGGGUCACCUGGGACUGGUGA